rnacentral:tRNA from 1 species
GCCUGGGUGGCUCAGUCAGUUGAGCAUCCGACUUCGACUCAGGUCAUGAUCUCAUGGUUUGUGGGUUCGAGUCCCACGUCGAGCU